UACGAAGGGGGCUAGCGUUGUUCGGAUUUACUGGGCGUAAAGCGCACGUAGGCGGAUCUUUAAGUCAGAGGUGAAAUCCCAAGGCUCAACCUUGGAACUGCCUUUGAUACUGGGGAUCUUGAGUCCGGGAGAGGUGAGUGGAACUGCGAGUGUAGAGGUGAAAUUCGUAGAUAUUGGGAAGAACACCGAUGGCGAAGGCAGCCAUCUGGACCGACACUGACGCUGAGGCGCGAAAGCGUGGGGAGCAAACAGG
rnacentral:rRNA from 1 species